UAUUCCAUUCUUCCUGUUAAUUUGUUUAGGUUCUUGUGACGAAACCAGAUUUCUAUAAUGAAAACACCAGGAAAAAUCUAUUCUGCACUCUUUCUGAAUUGAUUAGCUUGAACAUUGUGCCAAUUAUAAAUACAAAUGAUGCUGUGUCACCACCGAUGUUUGUGGAACAUGAUGAUGUGGCACCUGGUGCAAAAGGCACUAAAAAGGGAAUUCAAAUAAGGGAUAAUGACAGCUUAUCGGCUUUACUUGCGGCGAAUAUUCAGGUAAUGGUGUCAACGGACAAAAUUUUGUUCGACCGUCCAUCCGAAGUGCCUCACGAGAAGAUCGGACGUCCGUUCGAAGUAGCCGAACUUUUUUUUUCAGACGACCGGAACCAAUUGGAUGUCCAAACUCUAUGGAGGCACUUCGAACAGCCGUGUGUUUCUUGCACGUUCGAGAAUCCUCGGCCGUUCGAACUCCGAAAUCUAGACAUCGUGUUUUACUGCUACGCUGAUGGUGUUUAGAUAUUUCACCACCAAUUUCGUUCAUUUGUUUUGUAAUGUCAAAACACACCAUCAGUUCGCUGUGUGUACAUUCUGGAGUUCGAACGGCCGAGAAACCCCGGGCGUCCGAGAAAAACACGGCUGGUCGAAGUGCUUUCAUAGAGAUCGGAAAUCCACUUGGUUCGUUCGGCUUGGUGGGAAAAAAAGGCUGCCACUUCGAAUGGAUAUCCGAAUUUCUAGUGAGACACUUCGGAUGGACAGUCGAACAAAAAUGCAAUUUUCCUCUGACCGUCCGUGUCCGCUGACACCUUUACAUUCAGGCAGAUUUAUUAAUACUGAUGUCCGACGUUGACGGCAUUUACAAUAAGCCACCGUGGGAAGAUGGAGCACGAUUAAUGCACACAUAUACAUCACAAGACCGUAACACAAUCGAAUUUGGAAAAAAAUCCAAAGUAUGUUUAUGCAAUAUACAUUAGGGUGUUUUUCAUAACCUGAAAAAUAAAAAUGGUAGAUUUUAAAUUAAAGAGGAAAAAAUUCUGUAUCAAUUAGUGGUGUUCACACAACGGAGCAAUCGAUAUUCACACCUCCCGAAGCAAAAAGUCUGCUUUUCCAUUCAAAUGUCUAAAUAACUCUCGCUCCGAAGCGUUGAACAAAUUCUACUUACCGUGAUAUGAUGCAUUGAACAAGUCAUAUCCAAAGAAUGCGGCGACAUUGUCAAACCGGAAAAUGAUCAUCAAAUAACGUCUAUAAAACCACUCUUGUACUGCGGUAAAUAAAGUUAGACACCUUAUAAACCUUAAAAUAGCCCACUAAGUGCAAGGCUUGAGAACUCUAAUAAACUAUUAGAAAAUAUUUGUUAAAAAAAACUUUAAUGCUAAACGCUGGAUUUUGAUUUAUGGAUUGAGUGGAACGCCGUCGUCAUCUGGUCGUCGCAGCAAUGCUGGAUGUAUCGGAAUGUCAAGCAGCGUGCAAAGACCUAAGUAAAUAGAAAACGAGCACACAAAUAACAAUUAAUUCAAGCGAAAACCAAGUCGAUUCCAAUUUUCAAAUGAAAUAUUAAUAGAUAAUGAACCUUUGUACAUGAUCAGUUUGGCUGCUGAUAUGUCCCGAUGCCAAAGUGAUUUGAGCAACUUGCGUGAUUGUGCAGCGUCUUCUGUUCCAGCGUUUUCAGCAGCAUUUGGUUGCCAGGUUUUGAAGAAGCGUUGCUUCUUUGACACCAAACGUCCUGAAUUUCGUUGGGUUAGAAUGGCUGCAAAAGCAUCACCUUGGUCGCGCAUUUCCUCCCAUGUACGCAUGAUUUUCCGUUGCAUUUGCAACACUCGUUUACUGACGUUCGUAUAGAUGGUUCUCGGAAGUCCAACACGUUCAUCUGGUUGGCAAUCGUUGCACUUCUUGUAUCGUUUGCUCUUCGUCCAUAUCGGGAACCGUUUGAAGCAUCGGGCACAAUGUUGCGAUGUCAUGUAUUCAUCCACCAACCGAACGACACAAUUGCCACGUCUUUUGAAGGCUGCAAUCAGCUUGCGAACGCCUGGACACCGCACGUACUUUUUGAUUCGGAUCGGGCAAUUUGGUGAAAUUUCGGCUGCUCCGAUGUUGAUGAUAGCUGUCUUGAAAUGUACCAGCUUACCGGCGAUGAGAUCAAUUGCACGACGCCAUUCAAUGUGUUUGUCCAAACGUAAGCGUGCAUAGUUUUUCUGACUGUAUGCCGCGAUACCAUCUUGGGACAUUCGCAGGCGAUGUUCGAUGUAAUGACGCCAAGAGAUGUUCCGUGGCGAUGGUGUCUGUCCAAUCUCUGCGGCGAUACGUUUGAGGUCUGCUUGUUCGUCAUACGUGAAGACUCGUGUCAUUCGUUCGGCUUUAAUAUUGCGCGCAUCUUGUUUCGAUUUCAGAUGGUAUUGUUUGAACGAAAUCUUCUCGUUGGUCUAAAAAUAAAAUGCAACAAAAGUGAAU